rnacentral:rRNA from 1 species
CCUACGGGAGGCAGCAGUGAGGAAUAUUGGACAAUGGGCGCAAGCCUGAUCCAGCCAUGCCGCGUGCAGGAAGACGGUCCUAUGGAUUGUAAACUGCUUUUGUACGGGAAGAAACACUCCUACGUGUAGGAGCUUGACGGUACCGUAAGAAUAAGGAUCGGCUAACUCCGUGCCAGCAGCCGCGGUAAUACGGAGGAUCCAAGCGUUAUCCGGAAUCAUUGGGUUUAAAGGGUCCGUAGGCGGUUUAGUAAGUCAGUGGUGAAAGCCCAUCGCUCAACGAUGGAACGGCCAUUGAUACUGCUAGACUUGAAUUACUAGGAAGUAACUAGAAUAUGUAGUGUAGCGGUGAAAUGCUUAGAUAUUACAUGGAAUACCAAUUGCGAAGGCAGGUUACUACUAGUGGAUUGACGCUGAUGGACGAAAGCGUGGGGAGCGAACAGGAUUAGAUACCCUGGUAGUCCACGCCGUAAACGAUGGAUACUAGCUGUUCGGGGCAACCUGAGUGGCUAAGCGAAAGUGAUAAGUAUCCACCUGGGGAGUACGUUCGCAGAAUGAAACUCAAAGAGUAGUAGACGNGNGAGAGCGACGACGACGACGACGGAGGGAGGAGG